UACGUAGGGUGCAAGCGUUGUCCGGAAUUAUUGGGCGUAAAGAGCUCGUAGGCGGUUUGUCACGUCUGCUGUGAAAACUCGGGGCUUAACUCCGGGCCUGCAGUGGGUACGGGCAGACUAGAGUGCGGUAGGGGAGACUGGAAUUCCUGGUGUAGCGGUGAAAUGCGCAGAUAUCAGGAGGAACACCGGUGGCGAAGGCGGGUCUCUGGGCCGUAACUGACGCUGAGGCACGAAGGCCAGGGGAGCAAACGGG
rnacentral:rRNA from 1 species